rnacentral:rRNA from 1 species
UACGGAGGGUGCAAGCGUUGUCCGGAUUUAUUGGGUUUAAAGGGUGCGUAGGCGGCCCGGUAAGUCAGUGGUGAAAGCCUCCAGCUCAACUGGAGAACUGCCAUUGAUACUGCCGGGCUUGAGUACAGACGAGGUUGGCGGAAUUGAUUGUGUAGCGGUGAAAUGCAUAGAUACAAUCAAGAACUCCGAUUGCGUAGGCAGCUAACUAGGCUGUAACUGACGCUGAGGCACGAAAGCGUGGGGAGCAAACGGG